rfam:Capsicum annuum cultivar Zunla-1 chromosome 7, whole genome shotgun sequence
AAUUUAUAGUGGGGUUAGGGUCUGAAAAACUCAUAAAUUUAGUGCUGUUUAUCAGCUUCUUCUCCUGAAAAUCACGGGAUGGAGUUAAAUCAUGGCACUACAUGU